UAUAUGUGUGUGUAUAUACAGUGUGUGUGUGUGUGUGUAUAUAUAUACACACACACACACACAUAUAUAUAUACAUAUG